rnacentral:rRNA from 1 species
CCUACGGGUCGCACCAGUAGGGAAUCUUCGGCAAUGGACGAAAGUCUGACCGAGCAACGCCGCGUGAGUGAAGAAGGUUUUCGGAUCGUAAAACUCUGUUGGUAGAGAAGAACGUUGGUGAGAGUGGAAAGCUCAUCAAGUGACGGUAACUACCCAGAAAGGGACGGCUAACUACGUGCCAGCAGCCGCGGUAAUACGUAGGUCCCGAGCGUUGUCCGGAUUUAUUGGGCGUAAAGCGAGCGCAGGUGGUUUAUUAAGUCUGGUGUAAAAGGCAGUGGCUCAACCAUUGUAUGCAUUGGAAACUGGUAGACUUGAGUGCAGGAGAGGAGAGUGGAAUUCCAUGUGUAGCGGUGAAAUGCGUAGAUAUAUGGAGGAACACCGGGGGCGAAAGAGGCUCUCUGGCCUGUAACUGGCGCUGAGGCUCGAAAGCGUGGGGAGCAAACAGGAUUAGAUACCCGAGUAGUC